rnacentral:lncRNA from 1 species
AAUCUCUUUUUCCCCCCUUUCAAAGUGCUUUGUUCCAGCUGGAGGGAGGCUCAUCCCCACGGGGCGGUGGAAAUGGGGGGGCCCGGCAGACUCCAUGGGAACCCCCAUAAUUUAAUUAUUGGGGGUUUUUUGGGGGGAAAAAAAAGCCCUCUGGAAUAAUCUGGCAUUUUUUGGACUCGUUUGUAUUCGGGAAGGAUUGUUCAAAAAGGGAUUUGGGAGGAAAAAUCAUCAGCCAAGGAGGGGGGCCCAGGGAGAGCCCCCGGGGGCAGCAGAACCAGCCUGGGGUCUCGUGGGAGCAAAGGGGUGGGGAAGAAAAAAUCCAAUUUCUUGGGGAGUUUUGAAAGGAGAAUGAGAAGAAUGGGCUUGGUUUGGGGGUUUUUGGACUUUUUUUCACCCUUUUUUCCAGGGGCCAGCGGAGCAGGGCUGGAGGGAGCCGGGACAGAGCGGGAAGGGGGGAGCAGGGGGCCGAGGGUCCUCUCCCAGGCUUGGCAGUUUUUCCCCUUUUUCUCCUCUUUUUUCUCCCUUUUCCCACCUCUUUCUCCUUGUUUUUUUUUUGAUUCUUUUUCUCUCCUCAUUCUUUAAUCUCCUUUUUCUCUUUCCCCCUCCUUUUUUAUCUUUUUCUCUCCUUCUACUGUUCUUUCUCCCUUACCUUUCUUUUCCGCUUUUUCUCAUUUUUCGUCCUUUUUCUCUUUUUUCUGCUCUUUUCUGUUUUUCUCCCUUUUCUCCUGUUUUCCUCCCCUUUCUCCUGUUUUCCUCCCAUUUCUCCUGUUUUCCUCCCCUUUCUCCCACUUUUUUCUCAUUUUCCCCUUUUUCCUCACUUUUCUCCUUUUUCACCCCCACUGCUCAUUUUCCCCUUGUCUCCUCCUUUUUUCUUUCCUAUUUUUCUUUCCUUCCCCCUUUUUUCCUCUCUUUUCCACUGUUUUUUCCCCCUUUUCAUUCUUUUCCCUCCCCUCUUCUCCUUCCUUUUUCUCCUCUUUCUCCCUCCCUGUCCCCCUAUUUUCUCCCUCCCUCUCCUCCUAUUUCCUCCCUCUCUUUUUCCACACGUUCAAAUACAAAUAUAUACUUAAAUUUACAAAUGCUAUUUACAGGUUUAAUUACAAAAAAAAAAAAAUCCAAAGAGAAAGAGAGACACCCCUUAGACGUUAAUAAAUCUAAAAAUAAAAAAUAUAUAAUAACUCCUCCCCCCCNNNNNNNNNNNNNNNNNNNNNNNNNNNNNNNNNNNNNNNNNNNNNNNNNNNNNNNNNNN